rnacentral:lncRNA from 1 species
AAGAGUUUGAGGGUUAUAGUACAAGAUUUUUAAGCCUAACUGAUUAAUUCCGAGUAUGGUAUACUUAAGGGUGGGCAGAGAAGGUUUGUUCAUUCAUUCGCUCAUUCAUUCAUUCAUUCAUUUCCCUCAAGCCUGCGUCCCCGCCCGGUCAGCAUCGCAGGUGUUACCCAAACUCUGACGGUCCCUUUAAGAACUCACCCGGAGUCGCGCCCUCCGAAGCUGAGCCGCCCUCGGCCAGCGCUGCAGGCCCCAGCUUAUAAAUCUAUGAAGGUGUCCAGGUCCUGCCAGACUCCGCUGCAUCUUUUGCUUUCACUCCAGCAGGGUAGCAGCAUGCUGCCUGUGCCAAGGCAAUCACUAAAAGGAAAGGAUUUAAUGCUGUCAAAAAAGCUUAUGCCAGCUUAGGCUGCAGGAAGAGGAACAGUGUCAAGUAUGUUGAAAGUGGACAUAUUGGUCAGACCUCCAUGAGAGCCUAGGGGGCAUUGCUUAGCAGCACGCUUUUAAAGGAAUCUGAACAAACCAGCAUGUGGAAAGAAGAGAGUAACCACAGCAAUCAGGAAACAACUGUACAAUCUAGGGCCAUUUCAUUGGAAAAACAGAAGUCUCCAGGGAGCUGCAGUCAUCAAACAGGCUUAUUCUGUGUACCCAGUGGGCAAGUACAGUCAAUGGAUGAAAAUUCAACCAAUGGACAAACACAGGAAGUUUUUCCUUAACAUGAGUUGUCAGAAACUGUCCAAAAUUCCAAAGAGCUGCCUCAAGGUAGUGGAAAUUUUUUUUUUUUUUUAAUCAGGAAGGUGCUGAAUGAAGCCAGCAAGGAUUCUGUGUCAGAGGGUGGUAGAUACCCAGGACAUAAGGUUGAACCACGUGACCUCUGAGACCACAGUUCUAAGCUGUUGAAACCUCAGUCCCUGCUGAAUACUGAAAUGGUAUUAGCACCCUUUAGUCUACAUCAAGAAUUCGUUCUACCCAGUUUUGGUGGUACCAAGACUGAUCUCUUUCUCAUAGAUAAUUCUUAACAGAAUAAAAGCUACAGGUUGAAACCAAUUCCCUUUAAAAUGUGGACAGUUGACCAUCUCCAUGAUAGGUAGUUAGGCACUGAAUUAAUGCUUUUUAAUGGAAGAGCCACCCUAAGAUUCCUGGAGUGUGGUAUAAUGGAGUACUAAAUCAGCAUAGGACUAAUAACUGCCUCCCGUGUAAACUGGUCUAUCCGGAGAGUGGUAUAGCCUCUCAUACAGUGUUCAAAGGCAGAUUUAACUCACUGCAGGUCCACAGCAACCGAUAAGAUAAACUCGUUGGUUAUGGUCUCCCACUUUGCAAAGGAGAGCACAGAGGAAGAGGAAACUGAGAUAACUUGGUUUAGGACCCCACAGCUGGCUGGAGCUGGGCUGAACAUUAGUUCAUUGUUUCUUCGAUUAAUCUAUGCUGCUUUUUCUCUACUUGGCUCCUUUUCUAAAUUAAACAAAACAAAACAAAAAACACUGGGCACAGAGUGGUGUAUAUGUGUGUGAGAGAGAGACAGAGAUAGAGAAAGACUAAGCGAAAGAGAAAAGAGAGAGGCUGAGUGAGAUUCAGAUAAAAUAAGGCACAAGUCAUGGGCUAGUCUGUUGUACAGUGUACUUGUCAUAUAUUUGAAUGCCUUUAACAAUGGAGACAGUUUUGAUGGAAAUAGGGCCUUGAAGAAAUGCAUAUCCGCACCCUGGUGGUAUGUUAUAACUAAACGGGUUGGUUUUUUGUUUCGGAGUUUUUUGGGUUUCUUUUUAAUGCAAAGGUAUAUAUUUAAAAUACCCUGUAGCUUCCUUCUCUCCUUCAUUUCAUUUCCUUAAGUAUGAGAGAGGUUUUCUGGAUGACGGGACAUCCAAACUGGAAGUGCCCUCAGAUCCCAUCAACUCCCAUCCCCAUGUUUGAGAAGCACGUAAAGUAAGCUCCAGAAGAGCUCCCAGACAACGUCGGCACACAAUUAUCAGAGGACUUUUCCCUGAUGGCAGAAAGCUACUGACAUUUCCAGAACCAUCCAUCUUUCUUUUAGAGAGAAGGGGCUGGGGGUAAGGAGAAAUUAGUAAUCUUUUCUAGAGAUACGUUUCUAAGUUUAACCAAAUUUGCUUUUCUGCUUUUGAAGAACUUGUGGUAUUGACAGAACCGUAGGAUCCCAUAUGGAAAUCCUCAGGAUUAUACUAAAAUCUCCUUACAUGAAACAACCUCUUCACCCCACCCCCUGCCAAGAGAAUGACCAUUGUCUGUUCACAGAAGGCUUUGGCCAGGGCCCUUCAGUCAGAUUAUCCUUAUGUAGGUAGAGAAGAUAAACUUGGAAACUUAAUUGGAAUUUGAAGAAAUGCUAUUAGAAUUUUAGGAAGUCAUUUGUAUUCCAUUUCUGAGAUAUGACCUGAAUAGAAUUCUGGUAAGUGGAGAAGCCAGAAGAUUCUUCAUAAUUAUAUGUGGACUGUGUCCAGUGACCAAUCUCAUUUAGGAUGGAAAACUGCCACAACCUUCCAAAACAAAGACCUGUGUGCCAGUCUUUCAUUUUUGGGAAGUGACACUCACUAGGGCUGUCAUUUUCCUAUUCCUCAUGUUGUAUAACCCUAAAUUCCUUUAUUAUUUUCUUCU